rnacentral:rRNA from 1 species
GACGAACGCUGGCGGCGUGCUUAACACAUGCAAGUCGAGCGGAAAGGCCCUUUCGGGGGUACUCGAGCGGCGAACGGGUGAGUAACACGUGAGUAAUCUGCCCUUGGCUUUGGGAUAACCACCGGAAACGGUGGCUAAUACCGGAUAUGACGGGCUCCGGCAUCGGGGUUCGUGGAAAGUUUUUUCGGCCAGGGAUGUGCUCGCGGCCUAUCAGCUUGUUGGUGGGGUAAUGGCCUACCAAGGCUUCGACGGGUAGCCGGCCUGAGAGGGUGACCGGCCACACUGGGACUGAGACACGGCCCAGACUCCUACGGGAGGCAGCAGUGGGGAAUAUUGGACAAUGGGCGGAAGCCUGAUCCAGCAACGCCGCGUGAGGGAUGACGGCUCGGUGUAACGUACUUCUAG